rnacentral:rRNA from 1 species
AAAUGAAUAGACGGGGAGGCGCACAACCAGUGGAGCAUGUGGUUUAAUUCGAGACGAAGCGAUGGACCUCACCUGGGUUUGACAUGUACCUGCAACUCUGCAGAAAUGCGGAGCCUCUUCGAGAGUGGUACACAGCUGCUGCAUGGCUGUCGUCAGUUCGUGUCGUGAGACGUCCACUUAAGUGUGGUAACGAACGCAACCCGCAUCUUGUGUUAUUUUUCCACAAGAAACUGCCUCGCAACAAGCGGGGAGGAAGGAGCGGAUGACGUCAAGUCAGCAUGGUGCUUAUAUCCAGGGCAACACACAUCCUACAAUGGAGCCGACAAAGGGUUGCCAAGCCGCAAGGCGGAGCUAAUCCCUAAACGGCCCCUCAGUUCAGAUUGCAGGCUGCAACUCGCCUGCAUGAAGUCGGAAUUGGUAGUAAUCGCGGAUCAGCAGACCGCGGUGAAUACGUUCUCGCCUCUUGUACACACCGCCCGU